rnacentral:misc_RNA from 1 species
GGAGUUCUCACUUUGGUUGGCUUUCUUUAUCCUUCUCAAUGGAAUCAAGACCUUAUAGGGGCUUCUUGCUAAGUCUCCUGUAGAGGAAGUGAAUGUAAGGGACCGGUCACUGUGGAAUGCGAUUUUUUCUGUCGAAAUGAAGAGAAGCCCUGCGAUUGGGCCGGAAGUGGUGGAAAGGUAACACUGGAAGGCUUUCAACAACUUCUCUCCUUUUGUGACCAAGAAGCUUCGUCUGAAGACUUUCUCAAUU